GUUCGCCAUUUAAAGUGGUACGCGAGCUGGGUUUAGAACGUCGUGAGACAGUUCGGUCCCUAUCUGCCGUGGGCGCUGGAGAAUUGAGGGGGGCUGCUCCUAGUACGAGAGGACCGGAGUGGACGCAUCACUGGUGUUCGGGUUGUCAUGCCAAUGGCACUGCCCGGUAGCUAAAUGCGGAAGAGAUAAGUGCUGAAAGCAUCUAAGCACGAAACUUGCCCCGAGAUGAGUUCUCCCUGAGACUUUAAGUCUCCUGAAGGAACGUUGAAGACGACGACGUUGAUAGGCCGGGUGUGUAAGCGCAGCGAUGCGUUGAGCUAACCGGUACUAAUGAACCGUGAGGCUUAACCUUACAACGCCGAAG
rnacentral:rRNA from 1 species